UAUAUUCUUUCUUACUUUCUACUCUUAAUAUUAUUUUUAGCUGCGAUAUUGGAGACCAUAAACAUUUAUUAUGAGCUUUAAUUUAGAAAAACCUUAACCAAUUUGGAAAUCUAUGUCUAUGUAUGUUUAUCUUCAAAAAAUUUAGAGAACAAGACCAAUAUUGUUUCACUAAAUUAUGUUCAGAACCAGCCAUGUUCUUAAGUAUGUGCAACUAAAUUUAAUGGAAUGUGUGUAACGAUCCGAAUUUCGAUCUCGGAACUCGUUAGCCGGCUAAGACCCAAGCAAUACAUCAAGACUAAAAUGUUUGUUUAUAAAUACCUCAUUUUUCACAUUGUUUUCUCCACCUGCAUCAAAAAGAAAUAAGAAAAGUUAGAGAGAAGAAGAAGUGAAAAAGAGAGAGAGUGAGAGAAAGAAAGAUAGGAACCACUGCAUGCUGCCACCAGAAGUCCUCGCCGGAGCCACCGCACGCCAGGACAUCGUCAAGCUCGUCAUCACCAUCAACCGCAGCUGAGUAUCGUCGGAAACCGCCGCCUCUUAAGCUUUGUUUUCGUCCGUUCAGUAUAUCGGCCAUAUCUUCUUAACCGUUGAGAAUCUCGCGCAUGCAGAGCCACCAUCGUGUUCCUCUCGUCGAGACGAAGCCGUAGCCACCGACCACGCCGCAAUCGGAGUCCGGACGAAGCCGCUAGAGCAUCCGGAAGUUUCGCCUCUGUGCGCGCGUGAGUUACACGCGCCGCCGCCAGAAAUCGUCUCCGCCGCCAGACCACCACCGGAACGCCGUCGCUGUUGCCGUGCUCCGCCUUCUGUCGCCGCCGUCUUCCGCCGUCACCACCGAUUUGGAGUCUAUUUGAGCAUCUGGAGUUCAUAGAUACCACAUUUCCCUAUUGCUAAGGUGAGACCGACGAGCAGGAGUGAUUAUCGGACCGGUGCUAUUGGACUUUUGGGCUUCUAUCGCUUUUAUCGUUAUCGGGAUUUUAGGCCUUUGGGCUUUUAUCGUUUAUGUUAUUUCCUAUUUCAGACUUACGAAUUUAUGUUGUCUUUAUAUUUCGGACUUAUACCGUUAUCUAUAUUUCGGAUGUUAUUUUAUAUUAUGGAUUUACAGCGUGGACGUUGACUUUUAUAUUUAUAAAUGAAGAUUUCAGAAACUAUUA